CUCUUGACUUUUCUUCUACAGCAAUGACAUCAUUGGUUUCUGUAGACUGUUCUGGAAUUGAAGAUGCGUUUGGUUGCUCCUCUUCCCUUCGUUCCGUUGAAUGUUGUUCUGGUUCUUUCUGAUUUUCCUCAACUUCAGUAACCACAGGUUCACCUUUUACUGUUUCUGUAGGCUCAACUUCAGUAGCCACAGGUUCUUCUUUUACCGUUUCUGUAGCUUGAACUUCAGUAGCCACAGGUUCUUCUUUUACCAUUUCUCUAGGAUCAACUUCAGUAACCACAGGUUUGACUUUUACUGAUUCUGUCAGAUCAACUUCAGUAACCAGGGGUUCUUUUACUGUUUUUGUAAUUUCAACUUCUGUAGCCACAGCUUCUUCUUUUACUGUCUCUGUAGGAUCAACUUCAGUAACUAUAGGUUCGUCUUUUACCGUUUCUGUUGCCUCGAAUUCAGUAGCUGCAGGUUCAUCUUUUACCAUUUCUGUAGGCUCAACUACAGUUGUCACAGGUUCUUCUUUUACGGUUUCUGUAGCUUCAACUUCAGUAGCCACAGAUUCUUCUUUUACUGUUUCUGUAGCUUCAACUUCAGUAGCCACUGGUUCUUCUUUUACUGUUUCUGUAGCUUCAACUUCAGUAGCCACUGGUUCUUCUUUUACUGUUUCUGUAGCUUCAACUUCAGUAGCUGCAGGUUCGUCUUUUACCGUUUCUGUAGCCUCAACUUCAGUUGCCACAGGUUCUUCUUUUACCGUUUCUGUAGGCUCAACUUCAGUAGCCACGGGUUCUUCUUUUACUGUUUCUGUAGCUUCAGCUUCAGUAGCUAGAGGUUCUUCUUUUACCGUUUCUGUAGGAUCAACUUCAGUAACCACAGGUUCGUCUUUUACGGUUUCUGUAACCUUAACUUCAGUAGCUGCAGGUUCUUCUUUUACUGUUUCCGUAGCCUCAACUUCAGUAGCCACAAGUUCUUCUUUUAGUGUUUCUGUAGCCUCAACUUCAGUAACCACGGGUUCUUCUUUUACUAUCUCUGCA
rnacentral:lncRNA from 1 species